GUGGGGAAUCUUCCGCAAUGGACGAAAGUCUGACGGAGCAACGCCGCGUGAGUGAAGAAGGUUUUCGGAUCGUAAAGCUCUUUCGUUAGGGACGAACGUGCUCUUUGUGAAUAAUGAGGAGUAAUGACGGUACCUAAAUAAGAAGCCACGGCUAACUACGCGCCAGCAGCCGCGGGAAUACGUAGGUGGCAAGCGUUGUCCGGAAUUAUUGGGCGUAAAGCGCGCGCAGGCGGGAUAUCAAGUCUGUCUUAAAAGUGCGAGGCUCAACCUCGUGAGGGGACAGAAACGGGUAUUCUUGAGUGUCGGAGAGGAAAGUGGAAUUCCAAGUGUAGCGGUGAAAUGCGUAGAGAUUUGGAAGAACACCAGUGGCGAAGGCGACUUUCUGGACGAUGUCUGACGCUGUGGCGCGAAAGCUAGGGGAGCGAACGGGAUUAGAACCCCCUGUAGUCC
rnacentral:rRNA from 1 species